rnacentral:rRNA from 1 species
CAGAUUAGGCAUGGGGAUAUCAUUUGUUACCAGAAAAGUGCAAAGUCUUUGAGCCACCAGGCAUACCCUUCUGUUCCAAUAUUCUUCCAGAAUAUUUUGAAGGCAGUUGUUCUGGGGGGGCAAAGGAAGAUAUGUGCUCUGGAAGAGGAGGUUGUUAGAUUGAAACGUCAGUCUGACCUUCAAAUAGAGAAGGCAAAAAAGGGUAGUUCUAAAUGUAAGCAAUUGAAACAUGAGCGAGACAAUGCGGUGCGACAGCUGAAUGAGCUGCAGGAUCAGAAUCCUCAGAUUAUUCUCGAGUUUCCCAUCACGAAUUUGGUAGAAGCAACGCAGAACUUCAGUGACCUGUGUAAGGUUGGAGACACCGAAUAUGGAAGCGUUUAUAAAGGCAUUAUACAGGACAACGCAGCAGCUAUCAAGCUAUCCAAAUCUGAUACUUUAUUUCAACAAGAGGUUUCUAUUCUUUGUCAAGGCAGACAUCCAAACAUUGUCGACUGCAUUGGAAAAUGUUCUGAAGUUUCAGCCCUUGUGUAUGAGUGGUUACCAAAUGGAAACCUUGAAGAUCACAUUGUUCGUGCUAAUGGAUCUCCAUCUCUCUCAUGGCACACCCGUAUGCAGAUCAUUGGUGAGGUUUGUUCUGCACUGCUUUUCCUGCACUUGCGUGCUUUGGUCCAUGGCGAUCUCCGGCCUUGUAACAUCUUUGUCGACGCCAACUUCAGAAGCAAGAUCUGCAACUUUGGUAUGUUAACCCUGUUUCUCCAGCCCGGCAACCACCAGUUAGACCUGACAGCAAGGCUGCCAUACCUGGACCCGGAGUUCCUCACCACCGGAGACCUCAUGCCGCUUUCCGACGUCUACUCUCUGGGUGUUAUAAUUCUGCGUCUUCUGACUGGAAUGCCUCCCUUGAGUAUUGCAAAGAAAGUUUCAGAAGCAUUGGAGAAUAAUAGCUUGCACACGCUGAUUGAUAAAUCAGCAGGGAACUGGCCAUAUGUACAAGCCAAGCAGUUAGCCGUCGUUGGUCUUAGCUGUGUGGAAAUGACGAGGGAAAAGCGACCUGAUCUCUUAACAGAAGUAUGGUCAGUUAUUGAGCCCCUUAUCAGGAAGCCUCCUGCAGCCUCAUGGCCAUGUGUCCAAUCAGCAGUUAGAGGAAGCUGCGCGCCUGAUCACUUGAUUUGUCCAAUUCUUAUGGAUAUUAUGAAGGAUCCUCAAGUGGCAUCUGAUGGAUUCACCUACGAAGCAGAAGCCAUAAGGCGCUGGUUUGAUGGCGGGAACAACAGGUCUCCGAUGACGAACUUGCCGCUAGCAAAUCAUGAUCUUGUCCCAAAUCUUGCCCUCCUCUCUUCUAUCCAGGAGUACCUUGAGCAGCAGAGGCAGCCAGCUUCCUGA